GACGAACGCUGGCGGCGUGCUUAACACAUGCAAGUCGAACGCUGAAGACCUGGCUUUUGUUGGGUUGGAUGAGUGGCGAACGGGUGAGUAACACGUGAGUAACCUGCCCCCUUCUUUGGGAUAACGCCCGGAAACGGGUGCUAAUACUGGAUAUUCACUGGCCUUCGCAUGGGGGUUGGUGGAAAGGUUUGUUCUGGUGGGGGAUGGGCUCGCGGCCUAUCAGCUUGUUGGUGGGGUGAUGGCCUACCAAGGCUUUGACGGGUAGCCGGCCUGAGAGGGUGACCGGUCACAUUGGGACUGAGAUACGGCCCAGACUCCUACGGGAGGCAGCAGUGGGGAAUAUUGCACAAUGGGCGGAAGCCUGAUGCAGCGACGCCGCGUGAGGGAUGGAGGCCUUCGGGUUGUAAACCUCUUUCGCUCAUGGUCAAGCCGCAACUGUGGGUUGUGGUGAGGGUAGUGGGUAAAGAAGCGCCGGCUAACUACGUGCCAGCAGCCGCGGUAAUACGUAGGGCGCGAGCGUUGUCCGGAAUUAUUGGGCGUAAAGGGCUUGUAGGCGGUUGGUCGCGUCUGCCGUGAAAUCCUCUGGCUUAACUGGGGGCGUGCGGUGGGUACGGGCUGACUUGAGUGCGGUAGGGGAGACUGGAACUCCUGGUGUAGCGGUGGAAUGCGCAGAUAUCAUGAAGAACACCGGUGGCGAAGCGGGUCUCUGGGCCGUUACUGACCUGAGAGCGAAAGCGUGGGGAGCGAACAGAUUAAUACCCUGUUAGUCCAGGGCGAAGUUCCACAGUGGAUAUCAGCCUUAUCGAUACCGUCGAACCUCGAGGGGGGGGCCCGGUACCCAGCUUUUGUUCCUUUAUGUAGAGGGUUAAUUA
rnacentral:rRNA from 1 species